ensembl:lncRNA
GGACACCUGGACGUCGCAGGACUACCCUUCCCCUGGCUCGCUGGGCCCCCAGCCCUGGUUUCUGGGGUCUGUAAGUAAUAAAUCUUAUGACUUAACAUUCUUUGUGUGAGUGUAUUGAAAUUGUGCCUUCAAUCAAAAUGACCCUGGGUUUCACUUCCUCUGGGUGGGGGUUCAGAUGCUGAGGGAGCAACUUGCUGACCCGAUGUGGGUGGUUUGUGCUCCUUGUUCAAUAGGUCGUGGUCUGCAUAUGCCUAAUUUAAUACUCCAGCUAUUCCCCUUCUCCCCCCAGCACAUCUGGUUCCUGGCCUUGGGGUGAUCUGAGCAGGGAACAGUGGUCCUGAGUGUAAGAGCUCAGUGGAGGAGGGGUUUGUACACAGAAGGCGUGAAAGUGAAAAAAUGAAAGUUGAUCAGUCGUGUCCGACUCUUUGCAACCCCAUGGACUCUACAGUCCAUGGAAUUCUCCAGGCCAGAAUACUGGAGUGAGUAGCUGUUCCCUUCUCCAAGGGAUCUUCCCAACCCAGGAAUCGAACCGGGGUCUCCUGCAUUGCAGGCAGAUUCUUUACCAGCUGAUGGAAGACAUGCUCACAGGCAAAUUGGAAUGACUUCCUUUCUCUAGGAACUGGUUAGUCCUGGGAGGAGCAGUGUCUCCGGGGUCAUCAAGGCUCUGGAUGUCAAAGCAUGAAAAACCAGAACUAAAAUGACAUGAUUAAUACACUCACUGCUUGGGGCUUGUACACCUGGUUGGCUCAGCUCCACUAGGGGUGGGGAGUAAUGCUCACCUGAGUCCUCUCUGUUCUGUUUGCCAGUGUAUUUGUGCCACCAGUACUGGUUACUCUGAUUAUAUAAUUUCAUUGAACAAUAUGUAAAUCAAUGAAAUAUGAGUGCCAGAGAAAGAUGUGUUGAUGAAAGGAAGAUGAAUUCCCUGAAAAGACUAGAUAGAGGCAGAUUGCUUUUUUUUUUUUUAGUGCUGUCAAUUUAAGUCCAGGCAAUACAACUAUAAACGAUUUAUGUUUUUAUAAAUCAUAAAAGCAUAGGAAGAUCUAUACUCCAUUGACUUUACAAACGUUGGUUUUUUUGUUGUUGUUAAUUCUUACUCCGUUUUAAAGAAAUCAAACCUGAAAGUUGUAGAAGAGAAGAUAGGUUUAGUUUAUGCAAAAAAAGAGAGGAGACUCCAGAUAAUAGACCUGGGCCUGUGUCAAGAGAUUGUUGAACAAAUACAUACUAUAUGAUUGAAGUGAAAAUAAAAUUUUUAAGAUACAUAAAUGUCUUUUGAUAAUUCUCAUCUUUACCUAACAUUUCUGUUAAUUGAUCAACUGAUAGCUCUAAUUGUGUCAGAUAAUGGAGUUUCUCCCAUUAUUGUCCCCAUUCUUAGAGAUGAGGAAAUUGAGGCUUAAGGAGACUAAUUUGCUCAAGAUUUGAACCUAGGUCUUUCUGGCUCCAAAGCGUGUACAUGUUCUAAAUCACUGCACCGGCUACAGUGUCUAUUUUAGCCAUUCAGUAUUUUUUGAAGAGAUAGAAAGAUGAGUAAGAACUGAUUCCUGCCCUUAGGAAAUUCAUGGACUUGUAGGAGAGGGCAUGGGCAUGUAAAUCAUUCAUUUUAUUAUGUGGAAUAAGUAAAAUUAUAGCAGUUCAUGACAGAGAUAGAGGAAGGAGUGGUACAUUUUCCAAGGUGUCAAGAAAGGUUUUGCAUAGGAGAUGCAAACCCAAAUUUUAAAUUUUUUAAAUAAAUAGGCAUAUAUCAGGUAGGGAGGGCUCUUAGCAGAGGGGACAGUAUAUGCAAAAUUAGAGAGGAUGGUAAGAGCCAUUCAAAGAAACACAGUGGUUCUGUGUCUGAAAGGUGAGGUGAUGGGAGAGUUCUCAAGCACCAGCUCAUGAAGAUCCAGUCAAGGAGUUGGGACUUGGUCAUCUAAAAGUUUGGCAGGGGGGAGGCACAAGAUUUAUUUUAUUUUUUGGCUGUGGCAGGUCUCCCUUGCUGCAUGCAGGCUUUCUCUAGUUGUGGUGAACAGGGUCUCGCUCUUUGUUCCUUUGUGUGGGCUUCUCAUUGCCGUGGCUUCUCUUCUUGUGGAGCACAGGCUCUGGGAUGCUUGGGCUUCAGUAACUGUGGCGUAUGAGCUUAGCUGCUCUGCGGCAUGUAGGACCUUCCCAGACCAGAGAUCGAACCUGUGUCCCAUGCACUGCAAGGCGGAUUCUUAGCCACUGGACCAUGGGGAAACCCCUGAAAGUCUUUAUUCAGGAGAGUAUGUGGCUAUGUUUGCAUUUUAGAUUACUCUAGCAGAGCGGGGGCUGGGUGCAGGCAAGGCUGGAAGAUGAACUGGACUGCAUUAAUCCAGGUGAAAAAUCACUGCUCUCAGUUGUGACACCAGCAGCUACAGUGAAUUCAUUAAAGGUUUUAGGAAGAACUGACAGGACUGUAUAACUAGAUGUGGAAUGCGGAGGCCAGCCGUGGGUCUGGGAGGAUGUCGGUGCACUCAACCACUAUGAACAACAGUACCAGUGAAGGAUAAAACAAUGAUUUUAGCUUUGGACACAAGUUUGAGUUUUCUGCAGGACCUUCAGGUGGAAAUGUUCAGCACAAUUAGAUAAUUGGCCUGGAGCUUAUGGGAGAAGUUGGGGCCGGAGAUAGAUUAGUGAUUGUCAGCAUACAGACAGGGCAUGAGAUGUGGAAGCAGCGUGAGGAGAAAGGGCUGGUGACAGAACCCUGAGAAGGGCGUCACUGGGAAGGAACUUCUGAAGCGGGGAGGGAAAAUCCCGGCAAGACCAUGGUAUCAGAGAAGGAAGGAAAGAAUUCCGAGCAGGUAUGCCAAUGGCCGGUCAUACCUCAUGCCACCGAAGGACCAAGUCAAGGGAGAGCUGAACACUGUCCAUGGCUGUGACCUUGGGUGUUUGGGUGAAGUCAAGCCCAGAUCACGGUGAGCUCAAGUGCUGGCUAGUUAGGAAAUCAAGCAGAAUACAGAAUAUGGGGAAACUCACAGAUUUGAAGAGG